GCCAGCAGCCGCGGUAAUUCCAGCUCCAAUAGCGUAUAUUAAAGUUGUUGCAGUUAAAAAGCUCGUAGUUGAAUUUCGGGAUCAAUACGUCGGUCGUGCUUCGGUACGUACUGGCGUCAUUGAUUUCUCCCUUCUGACGAACCAUGAUGUCAUUAACUUGGUGUCAUGGGAAAUCAGGACUGUUACUUUGAAGAAAUUAGAGUGUUUAAAGCAGGCUCACGCUUGAAUACAUUAGCAUGGAAUAAUGAAAUAGGACGUUCGAUCCUAUUUUGUUGGUUUCUAGGAUUGACGUAAUGAUUAAUAGGGAUAGUUGGGGGCAUUAGUAUUCAAUUGUCAGAGGUGAAAUUCUUGGAUUUAUUGAAGAC
rnacentral:rRNA from 1 species